rnacentral:misc_RNA from 1 species
UUGAAUUUUAAUGAAGAGUUUGGUUGUAGCUGGCCCAUUCAUUUGGGCAUGUGCACACCUUCCUCUUUCAUCCCACACACACCUGUGAACCUGUGAGACAGAGAUGGGGAAUUUACUUGCUGCUUUUUGGAAUACAAAGGCAAUAGGUUAUUGGACCCCCCCUCUGUCUACUCAAUUAAUAUAAACUCAAUUUAUUUUAAAACGAAUGUAAUGGAUGUAACACAUUUCAUAC